UUGGAGGGCAAGUCUGGUGCCAGCAGCCGCGGUAAUUCCAGCUCCAAUAGCGUAUAUUAAAGUUGUUGCAGUUAAAAAGCUCGUAGUUGAACCUUGGGUCUGGCUGGCCGGUCCGCCUCACCGCGAGUACUGGUCCGGCUGGACCUUUCCUUCUGGGGAACCUCAUGGCCUUCACUGGCUGUGGGGGGAACCAGGACUUUUACUGUGAAAAAAUUAGAGUGUUCAAAGCAGGCCUUUGCUCGAAUACAUUAGCAUGGAAUAAUAGAAUAGGACGUGCGGUUCUAUUUUGUUGGUUUCUAGGACCGCCGUAAUGAUUAAUAGGGAUAGUCGGGGGCGUCAGUAUUCAGCUGUCAGAGGUGAAAUUCUUGGAUUUGCUGAAGACUAACUACUGCGAAAGCAUUCGCCAAGGAUGUUUUCAUUAAUCAGGGAACGAAAGUUAGGGGAUCGAAGACGAUCAGAUACCGUCGUAGUCUUAACCAUAAACUAUGCCGACUAGGGAUCGGACGGGAUUCUAUAAUGACCCGUUCGGCGCCUUACGGGAAAC
rnacentral:rRNA from 1 species